rnacentral:rRNA from 1 species
UACGGAGGGUGCGAGCGUUGUCCGGAAUCAUUGGGCGUAAAGAGCUCGUAGGCGGUCUGUUGCGUCCGCUGUGAAAACUCGGGGCUUAACCCCGAGCCUGCAGUGGAUACGGGCAGACUAGAGGUAGGUAGGGGAGAAUGGAAUUCCCGGUGUAGUGGUGAAAUGCGUAGAUAUCGGGAGGAACACCAGUGGCGAAGGCGACUUCUUGGCCUGUUCUUGACGCUGAGGCGCGAAAGCUGGGGGAGCAAACGGG